CCUACGGGUGGCAGCAGUGAGGAAUAUUGGUCAAUGGGCGCGAGCCUGAACCAGCCCAGUCGCGUGAGGGAUGAAGGUUCUAUGGAUCGUAAACUUCUUUUAUAAGGGCAUAACGUGUGGGACGUGUCCUAUUUUGUAUGUACCUUAUGAAUAAGGAUCGGCUAACUCCGUGCCAGCAGCCGCGGUAAUACGGAGGAUCCGAGCGUUAUCCGGAUUUCUUGGGUUUAAAGGGUGCGUAGGCGGCCUUUUACGUCAGCGGUGAAAGUGUGUGGCUCAACCCUAGAAUUGCCGUAGAAACUGGGGGGGUGGAGUAUGUUGGAGGCAGGCGGAAGGGGUGGUGUAGCGGUGAAAUGCGUA
rnacentral:rRNA from 1 species